rnacentral:sRNA from 1 species
AGGUGUGGUCCGGCGUCGGAGGGUUAUCUGAUCAUCCCUUCGGGGAAUUUCCCUUCGGCACAAACUCGACUACUCU